CUCCUUUUAUAGUUAAAGCCGUGCUCAUUGUGCCGGGGACUACAGUAAAGGACUCAGAGUGGAUAUGCAUAUGUCUCCGACAGAUGGGCCUCUGAUUUACUUUAAAAGAAAAGCAUGCAUCUUGCGGGGGCUAUUGGAGUCUGCUAAUCCCAGUUUCAGAUGCAUUAUCGAAUUAUGACUUUAUCGACUCAUGUCUGCAAGAUUUAAGUGAGUGGAGAGAAUUGGCCUGAGUGAAUGCCAGGAAGUGAGGAGGCACACUUCCUGGACGUUAACAAUAUCUCAACAAAGUGCUGCAUCACUUGCAGUCAGAAACAAGAGCACAUAUAUUUUUAGUCAAUACAUGAAAAAGGCCAAGUGUGCGUUAAGUCUAGAUCUAACAUAUAUCCUUAAAAAGGAUCAAACUAGCCCUUUACUGAUUAGAACUCCAUGUUAACAACCCCAGGAAACAGCAAAGUAGACCUCUGACACGUGAAUAAUCACCUCUCUUUAUAAUGUGCCACCUGUACUCUCUUUCAGGAAAUGAUGCAGUUUACUUCAGACAACACAACAUAUAUGCAGACCGACAGUGACCUCUGGUGACAGAGAAGAGACAAAGCAUACAAUAUAUCUGGCAACAAUAUUUUGUCAUACUUGCUAACUGAAAAGCCACUAAGCUGCACAGAAAUACGUUGGAUAACAGUUGGAGCCAGGGCUUUCUCCCGGACAGAAGAUGGUGCUGUUGUUGUGAGCACAAGAGAACACACCACCGACGAAAACCAACCAUAGGAGCUGUUCCUCGGAUUGCAGGAGGUGGUGAGGACGAGGACAAAUCAUUACAGAGAGUAAGACAUAAGAUGCUGGAGACCAGUUUCUGUAAUGUCAUGCACUGUAGAGUACGCAAACAAUUCUGGCGAGAAGCAUUGACUGGAGAGAAAACAACAUCAAAACAAGCCAUUGUUUUCUGAGAAUACGUCUCUUAUUUCAUUCCAGACGGUUAUAAUUCCAUCACAUUACAUUCCAUCCAAUUUUAGCUUUAAAUCAAAACCGUCUAAUUAUUUGUAAUGGAAGAAUUCACAGUAUUUCUACUUCCACAUAAUUCCAUGGAGAAGAACAUUGCUUAGUGUGAAACUAUGUCUUUAAAAAAUACAGUUUACAUAAAAAAAAGAAAGGUUUUCUCCAACUUCUUGCUUUUGUGAAAACGUUUUGACCAAUUUAGCUCCUGAAAGGAAGCAUAGCUACGCCUAAAGAUUUAAAACUACAUGGAUAAGGUUACAGAAAGAUUGUCAUGACAACUAACCUAUACAGUUAAGCUAUGGUAAACUACAGACUUUAGUUUAAGGUUAGAAAAUAUCAUGGUAAUUGUUACUGUCCAUGGGGGUUUGUCCAAAUAUUUGCUCCCCUAUUAACAGAUAUUACUUCUGCAGCACUAACAAUGCUGCAUAUUUGCAGCAACCACUGCCUGCUUCCCAGCAACCGCACUUCCUCCAUCUCCCAGACGUCCUCCUGGAUUAGCAUUUAGGAACUGCUGCAUGUGGAUUCUGCAAUACAAGUUCAGGUUCAUCUUGCUGUGAGUGCGUGUGAGCUCAGAGUCACGUACAGUGUAUCUAAGCCACACUGAUUUGUUCUGGAGCACCACAUGAGGGGAGCCACACCAAACUCAAAUGUGUAUUAUUUUCGCAGUAAAUUGGUG
rnacentral:lncRNA from 1 species